GGGCGGCCACCAGGAACAAAACCACGAUAAGAUCGUAAAGGAGGUAGAAAUGCUCCUCCAUGAGCACGAAACGCACCAUCUUCACCAUCAGCACCAAGGACACGAGGAUCACCAUAACGAGGAUUGCUACAACACUUAGAAGACACUCACGGACACGGGCAUGAGGACGACCAUCACGACGACCAUCUCCAUCACAAGCAUCACGAUCACCAUGAGCACCAUCACCAUGACCACCACGAUGACCACGACCACCAUGAAGCCAC